rnacentral:rRNA from 1 species
AGCGAACGCUGGCGGCAGGCCUAACACAUGCAAGUCGAACGAACCUUUCGGGGUUAGUGGCGGACGGGUGAGUAACACGUGGGAACGUGCCUUUAGGUUCGGAAUCACUCAGGGAAACUUGUGCUAAUACCGAAUGUGCCCUUCGGGGGAAAGAUUUAUCGCCUUUAGAGCGGCCCGCGUCUGAUUAGCUAGUUGGUUGAGGUAAUGGCUCACCAAGGCGACGAUCAGUAGCUGGUCUGAGAGGAUGAUCAGCCACAUUGGGACUGCGACACGGCCCAAACUCCUACGGGAGGCAGCAGUGGGGAGUCUUGCGCAAUGAGCGAAAACCUGACGCAGCCAUGCCGCGUGAAUGAUGAAGGUCUUAGGAUUGUAAAAUUCUUUCACCGGGGACGUUAAUGACGGUACCCGGUGAAGAAGCCCCGGCUAACUACGUG